UACGUAGGGGCCUAGCGUUGUCCGGAUUUAUUGGGCGUAAAGAGCUCGUAGGCGGUUUGGUGAGUCGGGUGUGAAAUCUCCACGCUCAACGUGGAGGGGCCACCCGAUACUGCCAUGACUAGAGUCCGGUAGGGGAGUGUGGAAUUCCCGGUGUAGCGGUGAAAUGCGCAGAUAUCGGGAGGAACACCAGUAGCGAAGGCGGUUCUCUGGGCCUUACCUGACGCUGAGGAGCGAAAGCGUGGGGAGCGAACAGG
rnacentral:rRNA from 1 species